GUCUGUGGCCAUACCACCCUGGAUGCGUCCAUUCUCAUCUCAUCACAGAAGCUAAGCAGGGUUGGACUUGGGAUGGGAGAUCCCCCGGGAAUAUUGGGUGCUAUGGGCU
rnacentral:rRNA from 1 species